CCCUUAGAUGUUCUGGGCCGCACGCGUGCUACACUGAUGCAUUCAACGAGUCUAAAACCUGGUCUGAUAGGGCUGGGUAAUCUUUUGAAAGUGCAUCGUGAUUGGGAUAGAUGAUUGCAAUUCUUCAUCUUCAACGAGGAAUGCCUAGUAAACGCAAGUCAUCAGCUUGCAUUGAUUACGUCCCUGCCCUUUGUACACACCGCCCGUCGCUCCUACCGAUUGAAUGAUCCGAUGAAUACCAUGGAUUGAGAGUACGAAUAGGUUCGCUUAUUUCUGCUUCUCGAGGAGUGGAGUAAAUCUUAUCAUUUAGAGGAAGGAGAAGUCGUAACA
rnacentral:rRNA from 1 species